rnacentral:SRP_RNA from 1 species
GCCCGGCGUGGUGGCGCGUGCCUGUAGUCUCAGCCACUGGGGAGGCUGAGGUGGGAGGAUCGCUUGAGCCCAGGAGUUCUGGGCUGUAGUGCGCUAUGCCGAACGGGUGUCCGGACUAAAUUCAGCAUCAAUAUGGUGACCUCCCGGGAGCGGGGGACCACUAGGUUGCCUAUGGAGGGGUGAACCGGCCCAGGUGAGACACGGAGCAGGUCAAAACUCCCGUUCUUAUCAGUAAUGGGAUCGUGCCUGUGACUAGCCACUGCACUCCAGCCUGGGCAACAUAGCGAGACCCCGUCUCU